ensembl:snRNA U6 U6 spliceosomal RNA
GUGCUCACUUCGGGAGCACAUACACUCAAAUUGGAAUGAUACAGAGAAGAUUAGCAUGGCCCCUGCGCAAGAAUGACAUGCAAAUUUGUGAAGCGUUCCAUAUUUUU